rnacentral:ncRNA from 5 species
GGUUGGAUCACCUCCUUA